AACAUUGCGCAAUGGAUGGAAGUCUGACGCAGCGACGCCGCGUUAGCUAUUAAGGCCANAUAGUCNUNAAGCUCUUUCCUUAGGGNCAAAGGCGAAAGCAUGCCGGGACGCAAGAAGAAAGCAACCGCCAACUACGUGCCAUUAGCCGCGGUAAUACGUAGGCGGCGAGCGUUGUCCGGAAUUACUGUGCGUAAAGGGUGCGUAGGCGGCCCUUUAAGUCAGAUGUGAAAGCCCGCGGCUUAACCGCGGAACUGCAUUGGAAACUGGAGGGCUUGAGUGUCGGAGAGGGUAGUGGAAUUCCCAGUGUAGCGGUGAAAUGCGUAGAUAUUGGGAGGAACACCAGUGGCGAAGGCGACUACCUGGACGAUAACUGACGCUGAGGCACGAAAGCUAGGGGAGCAAACA
rnacentral:rRNA from 1 species